AGACAGUUUGAGAGACGACCCCCAAACUCUGAAUUCAAGCCACAGUUCACAGUGAAGACAGUGAAGCAUGGUGGAACAAGCACCAUGAUAUGGAGAUGUGUCUCAUACUAUGGUGUCAGGUCUAUUCAUC